UACCAGCACCCCGAGUGGUCGGGACGUUUAUUGGGCGUAAAGGGUGCGUAGGCGGUUUGGUAAGUCUUAUGUGAAAUCUACAGGCUCAACUUGUAGUCUGCAUGAGAAACUGCCGGGCUUGAGUAUGGGAGAGGUGAGUGGAAUUCCUGGUGUAGCGGUGAAAUGCGUAGAUAUCAGGAGGAACACCUGUGGCGAAAGCGGCUCACUGGACCAUAACUGACGCUGAUGCACGAAAGCUAGGGGAGCAAACAGG
rnacentral:rRNA from 1 species